AAGGCGAUGAUGAACGGCGCAGGGGUACAGACCUCGGCUGGAUCAUGGGGGCCGAGUGCGAGCAUCUUUGUGUAUCCUGCAUGUGGCAGGUGACCACAGAGCACUCGCAUGAGAACGGAGCCGCACUCUGAGCCUC
rnacentral:snoRNA from 1 species